rnacentral:misc_RNA from 1 species
AAGUCGUAACAAGGUUUCCGUAGGUGAACCUGCGGAAGGAUCAUUAACACGUAUCCACGUAUCAACCCCUUUGUGCUUUUUACGUUUUGACGUCCCUGCCUUGAGUGUGAAUUUCUGAGGUUGCGCGAGAAUCGAAUGGUGUCUCUUCGGAGGCAUUCUCGUGUUGCUGUUGUGAGCCUGCCCUUUCGGGGGUGGGUAAACACAGGGGUUCGCAUUCUAUCGUGCAGGUUCAAUGUUAGCCAUUCUAGCAUGCCCUUUUUUAUAACUAAACCCUUUGUAAACAUCUUGCUAACUUAAUUUGACUUGGGUUCUUGCAUCGACGCUUGCGUUGAAGUAGGGCUUAUUUCAAUAUUACGAAAUGCUUGACAACUCUUAGCAACGGAUAUCUUGGUUCUC